rnacentral:lncRNA from 1 species
CCUCACUCCCUACCCAUCAGCCGCCCCUCUCACCCUCUCUCUCUCCCCAAAUAGGCAGACGUGCUGCCCCUCACACUCCCUGUGAUGGCUAGGUGCGCCGCCGCCUCUCACCCUCUCUCCCCCUGUUAGCGGUGAUGGUGGUCCUACGGCUCCUGGAAGGACAUCACCGAGAACUGGAUCUCUGCCAGUCCUCACUCCCAUCGUCCGCACCUACCAGUAAGGCCCCGCUAUCCCCUUCGGUGUUCGCUGGCUAGGCUACAUUUCGUCCCCCUCACAUAGAUCUGGUCACGUUUCGUCCCUCUCACAUAGAUCUGGUCGGAUUGGGUGCUCCUCGGGCUAGCAGGAGAUCUAGCUAGGGUUCGAUCGAUUGCCCAUAUUAGAUUUUUUUCCUUAGAUGCGAUGGUGAUAUGGAUCCUCCGAUUUGCUCUGAUUUUGGUAGUUCUAAUGUGGGUUUCUGCAUUUGGCAGUUCACAACUCAGAACUUAGAAGCCGAGUGAUACUGUAUUUUGUAUUACGAAAUGAGGUCAUGCUCUCCAAUGUUUCAGUGUAGGUUGGUUGCAGUUUGGGAUUGUGAAUGAUGGGGACCUCAGCUAUUUUAGGUGGUAUGUUUUUAAUUUCAAGUAUAUAGGUAAGUUCUUUCAGAUAUGAUUCAGAGCCUUGGUCAGCACAUGUGCUUGCUACCCGUUAUAGGUUUGAUAAAAUGACUGAAUUAAGUUGCUUGACUUAUAUAUGCAAAUCCUUCCAGCUUUUUACUUGCCUACCUGUUUUUGCACCUAUUGUAGGUUUGGAAGACUAAACCAAGUGCAGUGAACUGCCAAUUCACUUCGUGAAUUGAAAGAAUAUCUGCACAGCUGUUGUGGGAACUAAGAUAAGCAUAUAAUGUGUAUUCAGUCAACAAAUUUGUUGAUAGGUAGUAAUUGUUUUUAGAUAGCAGUAAUUGUUUUCAGUUAGCAGCACUUCAUAGCAGAACAAGAUAUGUAGUAGUUAUUUUCAGAUAGCAGCAGGUUGAUAGGAGUAAUUGUUUUCAGUUAGCAGCACUUGAUAGCAGAACUUGAUAUGUAGUAAUUGGUCAGAAAGCAGGAGCACCGAAUUGUUUUCAAUCCCUGGUUUUUGUUUUUUAGAAAACAGCAGCAACACUUCGACAAGGUAAGUUAGCAGUAAUUAUUUGAGACUUGAUUAUCUGCCUGAGGUGAACUCUAAUUUGCUUUAUUUAUCUGUCCAUAUUGUACAUGACUUGACACCUUGUUACUUGUCUAUGGUUUAUUACUUUGCCUACAUAUGAGUAAUAUUGCACAUAUGUCAUUUUCAGGAGACAAAUACAAAGACCAGGACCAUGAUGCAAUGGAUUUUUUUUAAGGAGUGCCACUAUAUAGCAAAAAGAUUCAAGACUAUGCACUUGCUUUGUAGAAUGCUAUUGUAAUAUAUGUGAAGGUCGACAGGGACCUAUUUUUGCGUUUCAAGUUUUAUGUUGAUCAGAACAUCUUGUGUUAAUGUACUUACUGGAAAAAUAACCAAAUUGUUCGG